GACGAACGCUGGCGGCGUGCUUAACACAUGCAAGUCGAACGGAAAGGCCCCUUUGGGGGUACUCGAGUGGCGAACGGGUGCGUAACACGUGAGUAACCUGCCCUUGACUUCGGGAUAACUUCAGGAAACUGGGGCUAAUACCGGAUAGGAAUCCUUGCUGCAUGGUGGGGGUUGGAAAGCUUCGGCGGUUUUGGAUGGACUCGCGGCUUAUCAGCUUGUUGGUGGGGUAGUGGCUUACCAAGGCUUUGACGGGUAGCCGGCCUGAGAGGGCGACCGGCCACAGUGGGACUGAGAGACGGCCCAGACUCCUACGGGAGGCAGCAGUGGGGAAUAUUGCACAAUGGGCGGAAGCCGGAUGCAGCAACGCCGCGUGCGGGAUGACGGCCUUCGGGUUGGAAACCGCUUUCAGCAGGGGCGAAGCUUGUGGUGACGGUACCUGCAGAAGAAGCACCGGCUAACUACGUG
rnacentral:rRNA from 1 species